rnacentral:rRNA from 1 species
AGAGUUUGAUCCUGGCUCAGGAUGAACGCUGGCGGCGUGCCUAAUACAUGCAAGUCGAGCGAGAUGUUAGCGCAUGAACCUUCGGGGGAUUAUGCUAACGGACAGCGGCGGACGGGUGAGUAACGCGUAGGCAACCUGCCCCUGACAGAGGGAUAGCCAUUGGAAACGAUGAUUAAAACCUCAUGACACCGUAGAAGCACAUGCUUCAUCGGUCAAAGAUUUAUCGGUCAGGGAUGGGCCUGCGUCUGAUUAACUAGUUGGUGAGGUAACGGCUCACCAAGGUGACGAUCAGUAGCCGACCUGAGAGGGUGAUCGGCCACAUUGGAACUGAGACACGGUCCAAACUCCUACGGGAGGCAGCAGUGGGGAAUAUUGCACAAUGGGCGCAAGCCUGAUGCAGCAACGCCGCGUGAAGGAUGAAGGCCUUCGGGUUGUAAACUUCUGUUCUAAGGGAAGAAACAAAUGACGGUACCUUAGGAGCAAGCCCCGGCUAACUACGUGCCAGCAGCCGCGGUAAUACGUAGGGGGCAAGCGUUAUCCGGAAUUAUUGGGCGUAAAGAGUGCGUAGGUGGUUACCUAAGCGCAAGGUUUAAUUUAGAGGCUCAACCUCUACUUGCCUUGCGAACUGGGCUACUUGAGUGCAGGAGGGGAAAGCGGAAUUCCUAGUGUAGCGGUGAAAUGCGUAGAUAUUAGGAGGAACACCAGCGGCGAAGGCGGCUUUCUGGACUGUAACUGACACUGAGGCACGAAAGCGUGGGUAGCAAACAGGAUUAGAUACCCUGGUAGUCCACGCCGUAAACGAUGAGCACUAGGUGUCGGGGUCGCAAGACUUCGGUGCCGCAGUUAACGCAUUAAGUGCUCCGCCUGGGGAGUACGCACGCAAGUGUAAAACUCAAAGGAAUUGACGGGGACCCGCACAAGCAGCGGAGCAUGUGGUUUAAUUCGAAGCAACGCGAAGAACCUUACCAGGGCUUGACAUCCUGCUGACAGGACCUUAACCGGUCCCUUCUUCGGACAGCAGAGACAGGUGGUGCAUGGUUGUCGUCAGCUCGUGUCGUGAGAUGUUGGGUUAAGUCCCGCAACGAGCGCAACCCUUGUCAUUAGUUGCCAUCAUUAAGUUGGGCACUCUAGUGAGACUGCCGGGGUCAACUCGGAGGAAGGUGGGGAUGACGUCAAAUCAUCAUGCCCCUUAUGUUCUGGGC